ACACACACACACACACACACACACACACACACACACACCACCACCACCAUCAGACCCAGACAGUUCCAGAAAAGAAAAACACAGUCAGCGAGGGGGCCAACCAGCUGAUAGCUUCCAACAACAGACACCAGAGCAGAGCUGUAUCGGAUCCCUGACAAGCCCGCUCUUCUUUCUUAAUGCGGCCGCUUCAAAAGGCCGGCAUGUUUGACUGAAUUCAUUGUUGAGGCACACAAUGGUGUCAUUAUGGCAUGAGUGAAUGUGGGAGUCCUAAAGGGAUGAGUCAUGCCACAUGAGGAGAAGAGAACUGAACCACUAGGCCAGGUUGUCUACCUGUGAACAGGGACCUGACUCACUAGGGCAAGCCUGAGUCACUCUGAAGUACUGGGGAGCAGAUGAGAAAUCACUGAGGGAAACUUCCUCCAACAAGCUCACAGAGAUUAUUUUCUUUAUCUGUACUAUUGUGUGUGUGGACAUAUCCACACCUGCCCAUGAAACCCUGCAAGUCAGGGAUUGGAAAAGGACAAAUGUCAAUCUUACCAAUCUGGGCACUGUGAGGAGGGUGGUAAGACAAGCAAAAAGUUCCCUAAGGAUCACUGUUGGAGAGUUGCAGAUAAAAGUCUCACCUUGGGGUCACCAAGAAUAAAAAAAAAACACCAAAAGUGACCUCAAAAGGUCU